UACGUAGGGGGCAAGCGUUGUUCGGAAUUACUGGGCGUAAAGCGCGCGUAGGCGGUUUGGAAAGUCAGAUGUGAAAGCCCCGGGCUCAACUUGGGAACUGCAUUUGAUACUGUGUAGCUAGGAUGCGGAAGAGGGAAGCGGAAUUUCCGGUGUAGCGGUGAAAUGCGUAGAUAUCGGAAGGAACACCAGUGGCGAAAGCGGCUUCCUGGUCCAGCAUCGACGUUCAGGCACGAAAGCGUGGGGAGCAAACAGG
rnacentral:rRNA from 1 species